rnacentral:rRNA from 1 species
UACGGGGGGGGCAAGCGUUGUUCGGAAUUACUGGGCGUAAAGGGCUCGUAGGUGGCCAACUAAGUCAGACGUGAAAUCCCUCGGCUUAACCGGGGAACUGCGUCUGAUACUGGAUGGCUUGAGUUCGGGAGAGGGAUGCGGAAUUCCAGGUGUAGCGGUGAAAUGCGUAGAUAUCGAGAGGAACACCUGCGGCGAAGGCGGGUUGCUGGGCUGACACUGACGCUGAUGCGCGAAAGCUAGGGGAGCGAACGGG